GAAAGUUUUGCUUGGUCCUUGUCCUCCAUUACAAUGACAAAAGCAACACUACAGUAAAGUCGUAGUUCCUUUGCCAGACACACACAAAGCUGAAUAUCCUUCAAAUGGCUGACGGGUGAUUUACAGUUUUUUUUUUUUUUUAUCCCGCUGAAAGAAGUGUUGUUUAGGUGCAGCGCGCAUGCUGCUUCUUAAGUGAUUACCGACAAAAUCAUGGUCCAAUGCAGAGCAGGCUGCAUGGCGCUGUGACGCUUGGUGUCGGGAAAUAUGAUACGGUAGCUAUAGUGAAGCCGCUGUUUAUUAUCAGGCCCCAUCAGCGCGAGGUGCGGACUGCUGGAGACGCGUCAGUUUGCUCAGUACAGGAGCUGUGAUGCGUUCACCAAUGCAAAUGACAAAGAUUCCCCUCCUCCUCAUCCCAUUUCCCUCUCACCAGCACACACACUCACGCACAGCGUACUGCCUGCGCUUCAUAGUGCCGCGCCAGCCUUUGACAGCGACGGAGAGCAGCACUGACUGGGAGAGAGAGAGAGAGAGAAAGAAAGAGAGCGAGAGAGAGAUUAUAUAAUAGCAGCGGUGGGAAAUGCUGGAGAGCAGUGGAGCCUUCACUGGACAGUAAGCGGGGAAAACAGCAAAUACAACGGCCAUUAACCGAUAACCUGAGUGAUCGCACGAUACAAGGAUGCCGAGCGUCCACCUCACGGCUGAAGCUUUUCCCCAUGAUUAUCCUGAAGUCGGUGACCACAGCCUUGGAUAUUAAACCUCUUUUUUGUGGCAUAUCCAUUGUUCCACCACUGCUGUUGGACUCUGUUGUGACGAAGGACCAAGAUACAAUGUCUACAACAUUACCAGAUGCUGCAGGUCUUUCUAAGAUCGUGAAGUUGUAAGUAGGUUACAGAUCUCCUUACUGCUGAUCCAUGAAAUGGCCUUUCACUGAGGUAAGAGACAGUAAACAGGAUAAUGGCGCCCCUCUACAGACUGCACUGCCUCUUAAAGCGGGCUCAGAUGCUUCUGCUCUGUCUGGGCAUUGCCUAUCUGAUGGCAGGCAGUAUCCUGCUCCUGCAGCGCUCCAGCAUCAGAGUAGCCCAGUCAAACCUUGCCUGCCAACCACCCUUGCUGUCCCUCGCGGCACCUCCUACUGCCUUCAGGACUGCCGGCCUGGGUGUGAGGGCACGUUCCAGAUGGGCUGCCAUUCAGCCUGUGUCCAGAGGGGGAGCAAGGGCAGGGCGACACUGGCCUGCUUCCCAAAACCUGGGGGUGCAACACUUGCAUCACCGCUGGUUUCACAGUUUGCUGCCAGAGAGCACAGAGCACAGAGUCUCACCCCACAAGAGCAGCAGGCAUAAAGGAACCUACAUGGGUUGCUUUCUGCACAAUGCCAGUGAUCGAGCCCUCGGAGGAACCAUGCUUUAUGACCUGCGCAAAAUGACCAGUUCUCUGUGUCAAGACACCUGCUCAGAAAGUGGGUACCAGUAUGCAGGUCUGGAGUAUGGAGCUGAAUGCCACUGCGGGAACCGGAUCAGUAGCCCACGGGCUCAAGAGGAGGAUUGUAGUCUGAUGUGUCGGGGUGAGAGGGGGUCUCCCUGUGGAGGUGUGGGUCGAGUCUCCAUUUACAAGGUGGAGGAGCAGCUGCCAGGUCACAGAAAAUUCAGAAAUGUUCACUAUCGCGGUUGCUUCAAGUUGCUGAAGAACACCAUCAUCACCUUUCCCAUCUACACCUUUCAGCUCAACCUAACCAGACAGUCCUGCAUCGAGACCUGUACAGAUAAGGAGCUUCCGCUGGCUGUGUUCAAGGAGCCCCACUGUUUCUGUACAUGGAUGUCCUCUCUUUUCGGCCUCAACCAGCAGUCUGACAACCAGCAGUGUUUGGGGAACACUGGGCUGAAUCACACAAGCGACUCCACACCCACAGCAUCCAUUGAGCAUGACCACUACCACGUGUAUCACACGCCAGUGCUUGACUCCAGGUGCAAAGAGAGGAUGUUUCUGCCUCAGAGAUCCAGCUCCCUCGUGGCUCUUUCUAGUUUUCCUGGUGCAGGCAACACCUGGGUACGACACCUGAUUGAGCUUGUGACUGGCUACUACACUGGCAGCUUCUAUUUUGAUGGCACACUGUACAACAAAGGUUUCAAAGGAGAGAAGGACUACUGGAAGAGUGGCCGCAGCAUCUGCAUAAAGACCCACGAGAGCGGCCAGAGGGAGAUUGAAAUGUUCGAUUCUGCCAUCCUGCUGAUUCGAAACCCUUACCGCUCCCUCAUGGCUGAAUUCAACCGUAAGUGUGCGGGACAUCUAGGACACGCUACAGAUGCACAGUGGAAAAGCAAAGCUUGUGAGACCCCCUCGCCAAGCACAUUAUCUGCGGCCAGUCCUAGCAUCCCCACCGGUAAAGAUGAGAGCCCUAGCCCUGCUGCCUGUGUUGUGGACAUCACUGAUGAUGAUGACAGUAGCAGCCUUUUGUCGUCAACUACAGCAGUGACUCCCUUUACCCUGGCAAAGAAGGCCCAGUUGACCAAAGAAAAGGUGGAGGAAGUACAUAGAGCGGUCACAAAAUUUGCGGUGAAGGGCCUUCACCCAUUUUCCAUAGAGUCACCAUCAUUCAGCUCUCCUCUGCCCUGCUGCUGACUCCUACUGCAGGGUGCACAUUCAAGUUUGUGUGGGGCCGUGGCUUUGGACAGAGCACUGACAGGAGGGGGAGGACGGGGUGGAGCUUAGAGGAGGUGCCGCUUUCAAAUCUUGCUAGCUCUCCAACAUUACCAACUAAAGCUUUAAAGGCAGGCUGGAAGUAGGUGUUGCUGAUGCGUGGUGGGACAGGUUGGCGAGGGCAGCAAUUGCAAAUGCUACAGCAGCAGCACCACAGGUAUUUCACUGUAUGUAUCUCUCUGUGUACUCAAUACUCAGUGCUCAUUUUCAAAUGCAUCAUGCCCAUGUUAUUGAUUCUGUGAUAAAGUAAUGUUGUUUGUGGGAAAUGUGUGUGUGUGUGUGUGUGUGUGUGUCUACAGCCUCCAACAGAGGGCCCUCAGACAGAAGUUGAGGUUGAAGAUGAGGAGGAGGAGGAGAUGGCAUAAAAAACUCCAAGAAGAGCUCAAAAGAAGUCAGUCCUGGAACAGGUGUUUAAAGAUGAAGACCAAGAGCUUCUCAAGGAAGCUUAGACAACAAGCAGAGCUCUGUCCAUCACUGAGCAAGUGCAGAAAAAGAUAGACAUCUACAAAGGCCUGCCUGCAAUCCCAUCCCAAGAGGGAUACCCUCCCUAAUUCAUCUGCUCUCUCAGAAAACUAUUUGUGCAUCCAGGCCUCAUCAACCCCAUCAGAGUUUUCUCCACUGCUGGACAUACGAUUAGUCAGGAACGAUGGCGCAUAUUGCCAGAGAAAGCAAACGUGAAGGACUGUAAAAUUAGGUGAAUUGGUUGUGUGUGUUCUGUGUGUUUGUGUUUUGCACCCAAAGUUUAAGAUGGAGAUUACCCUGGUGGUAAUGGUAAAUUAUGGCUUUAUUGCUAGGUUUGAUACAGAAUAGUUUUAUUUGAGAUUUGUUGUGACAUUUAUUUUAUAUUGGUUAAUUUAUUAC